CUUUUUAGUAAUAGCCAUUCUGACUGGUGUGAGAUGGUAUCUUGUGAUUUUGAUUUGCAUUUCUCUAAUGAUCAUCGAUAUUGAGCUUUUUCUUGCAUGCUUAUUGGCUGCAUGUAUGUCUUCUUUUGAGAAAUCCUCUUGAUAUAUUUUG